AUGGAGAGCUCCGACAAAAGUCGAAAAGGCUUGCGGACCCGGACAAAAAGGAAUGACAGCGUGGAGAUGGAUGCAUUGGAUAAGACGUGCGUCAGUGGCACUAGUAUUGUCUCCGUGGCCCCAAUGGCACAUCUGGCAGACAAAGGAAAAUCCCAUGAGUUGGAGAUGUGUAAGCUGAGAGUAGAGUGGCAAAAAGAGAAGAUUGAUGAGCUGACCAAGGAGAGAGACUAUUUAAAAGGGACAACACAGAUGAAUCUUCCUCUGAUACUACGUCUGACACCUUGGCUACAUCCUCAUCAGAGGAGGACAGGAAGAAGAAGAGGACAAAAAGGAAGGGGAAAAGAAAAAAGUAUGGGAAGAAGUCAAAGAAAAUGGAAAUGAAGACACGUCAGAGAGGUUAGAAUGCUGUUUACACCCUUUCCACUCACCGGGUUAUGGUUUGCCAUUGGUUAUGUCUGCUGUACAUUUGUUUCUCUCUUGGCUGGUUCUUCCUGCAUGAUGUUACAUUGUGUGUGUGUGUGUGUGUGUUAUAAAAAUUGCAUUGGGGAUUUACUUCUUAGAGAAAAAUGGUAUAUGUGAGGAUUUCCAGUCAGGAUUUAGACCGUAUCAUAGUACUGAAACUGCUCUCCUUAGAGUUACAAAUGAUCUGCUCUUAUCAUCUGAUCAUGGGUGUAUCUCUCUAUUAGUUUUAUUGGAUCUUAGUGCUGCGUUUGACACAAUUGACCACAACAUUCUUUUGCAUAGACUUGAACACUUUGUUGGCAUCAGUGGAAGUGCAUUAGCAUGGUUUAAAUCGUACUUAUAUGACCGCCAUCAGUUCGUAGCAGUGAAUGAAGAUGUAUCAUAUCGAUCACAAGUGCAGUAUGGAGUACCUCAAGGCUCAGUUCUAGGGC
rnacentral:lncRNA from 1 species